GACGAACGCUGGCGGCGUGCUUAACACAUGCAAGUCGUACGGUAAGGCCCUUUCGGGGGUACACGAGUGGCUAACGGGUGGGUAAGACGUGAGUGACCUACCCACAACUUUGGGAGAACGCACGGAAACUGAUGCUGAUUCAUGAUAUGUACUCCUUCCUCAUGGAUGGGGGUGGUAAGCUACGGCGGUUGGGGAGGGACUCGCGGCCGAUUAGCUAGUUGGUGGGGGAGUGGCUUACCAAGGCUGCGACGGUUGGCCGGCCUGGGGGGGUGACGGGCCACAUGGGGACUGAGAAACGCCCCAGCCUCCGACGGGGGGCAGGAGGGGGGAAUAUUGCACAGGGGGCGGAAGCCGGAUGCAGCAACGCCGGGUGCGGGAUGACGGCCUUCGGUUUGAAACCCGUUUACGCAGGGGACGAAGCUUGAGUGACGGUAAUGGGUAAAGAAGCACCGGCUAACUACGUG
rnacentral:rRNA from 1 species